CAGCCGCCACGGUAAUACAGAGGGUGCGAGCGUUAAUCGGAUUUACUGGGCGUAAAGCGUGCGUAGGCGGCUUCUUAAGUCGGAUGUGAAAUCCCUGAGCUUAACUUAGGAAUUGCAUUCGAUACUGGGAAGCUAGAGUAUGGGAGAGGAUGGUAGAAUUCCAGGUGUAGCGGUGAAAUGCGUAGAGAUCUGGAGGGAUACCGAUGGCGAAGGCAGCCAUCUGGCCUAAUACUGACGCUGAGGUACGAAAGCAUGGGGAGCAAACAGGAUUAGAGACCCCCGUAGUCCCUGUCUCUUAUAC
rnacentral:rRNA from 1 species